UGGGGCUUCGCGGAGGUGAGGGAGCUGGUCGGCGGCCCCCGAGCCCGUGGCGCAGCGCGUAUGUGGCGCUCCGGUUGACAUCUGAAAGCCGUCGCUCUGCUUUGUGCGGCCCGGCCUCGGCGUUUGGAGUCGCGGUGCGGGUCUACGGCGAGCGCCCAUGGAGAAGGCUGGGCGUGAAAGUGACGGCGCCCCCUGCGGGCCUGUCCUGCAUAUCGUGGUGGUCGGCUUUCACCACAAGAAGGGCUGCCAGGUUGAGUUCUCUUACCCACCACUAAUUCCAGGAGAUGGCCAUGACAGCCACGCUGUACCUGAAGAGUGGAAGUACCUGCCUUCCCUUGCCUUACCAGAU
rnacentral:lncRNA from 1 species